rnacentral:lncRNA from 1 species
AUGUACCCUUGGUUGGAAAUGAAAACUAGUAUACAUCUUUCUGUCAUUUACUUUCUGCACUUUAAUUUUAUGUUAUUCAUCAUUCAAAACAACCAUUGCAUCUUAUUCUAAAUCAGAAAAUUAAAAAGAAAAAGAACUUGCUUAAAAAUCAACUAUUAUCUAACAAGUUUUAUUCAUCUCUCCUCUUAGACUGCACAUUCUAAUACUUA